UACGGGGGGGGCAAGCGUUGUUCGGAAUUACUGGGCGUAAAGGGCGCGUAGGCGGCCUGCUAAGUCGGACGUGAAAUCCCUCGGCUCAACCGGGGAACUGCGUCCGAUACUGGCGAGGCUUGAAUCCGGGAGAGGGAUGUGGAAUUCCAGGUGUAGCGGUGAAAUGCGUAGAUAUCUGGAGGAACACCGGUGGCGAAGGCGGCACUCUGGGCCGAUACUGACACUGAGGAGCGAAAGCGUGGGGAGCGAACAGG
rnacentral:rRNA from 1 species